UGUUAAUUACCUUUGUGGCUUUACGAUCUUAUAUGAACUUGAUGAUAUAAUAGUGAUACCAUUCGGUUGGUCCCAGCUGUACGCUGAUGUUGUUUUUCUGGCCUUUAGCGACAAAAAUUAGAAGUAUUUUUGUUUCUCAAUUUUCAUUUGCACUUAUGUUUGCUGCUAUUAAUUGAUGAAUGAGAUGGAUGAUAGUUGAUAAUAGAUGUUGUCAAUUCUCCCUCUCUACAUGUACAGGAUUAUGCCAAAAGCUCUCAUGCCUCUUGAGGUAUUUUUGCUACUCUAACCUUUUAAAUUUCGAUGACCCUUGUCACGUUGUUUUGCUUUCUGCAUACAGUUAAUGAUCACCAGCAAUGCGUUGGUUCUUGUUUGGUCUCUUGGCUUACUCUCAAGAUAUGAACGCGACCUACAGUAUCUGAACGGAACCUACUGCAGAUUUUGACUAUGGAAUCAUCUUCAUGAUGCCCGAUGUCAUCGUUCUUCGCAGCUUCUCUUCAUCAUUUUAGGGAAGUUCCAAAUAAUUUUCACUUAAUCUUCUCUGUUCAGUUUACUCAGGUUUUCAUUUUCUUCUUCCCUUUUGUCAAGGAAAAAGGACCUCAGACGAAGAUAUUUCUAAAAUUUCUCUUUGGUUUCACUUCAGGCCUCUGAUGGAAGGAAGAAGAUUGUGGGGAUGUUCUACAAGGACAAGAAGAUUCUGGACUAUUCUUCUCUCAGGGCAUGCUAAAAUACACGCAAUCUUGCUCCUGCAAUUCGAAGCUUGUAGCUGUCUGUUGCUGCUGGAGUGCUGGGUAAGUAAGAGAAUUAAUUUGUAUUUAAAUUUAGAUUUCCGGGUAGUGCAGUGUAGUGAGAGUGUGAGACUUAUCCCCAAAUCAUUUUUUCAAGAAAAUAGAAAUAAUAUUAAUAAGAAAGAUCAUGAGAACAACC